GACGAACGCUGGCGGCGUGCUUAACACAUGCAAGUCGAACGGUGAUGCUCCAGCUUGCUGGAGUGGAUCAGUGGCGAACGGGUGAGUAACACGUGAGCAACCUGCCCCAGACUCUGGAAUAAGCGCUGGAAACGGCGUCUAAUACUGGAUACGAAACUGGCCCGCAUGGGCAUGGUUUGGAAAGUUUUUCGGUUUGGGAUGGGCUCGCGGCCUAUCAGCUUGUUGGUGAGGUAAUGGCUCACCAAGGCGACGACGGGUAGCCGGCCUGAGAGGGCGACCGGCCACACUGGGACUGAGACACGGCCCAGACUCCUACGGGAGGCAGCAGUGGGGAAUAUUGCACAAUGGGCGAAAGCCUGAUGCAGCGACGCCGCGUGAGGGAUGACGGCCUUCGAGUUGUAAACCUCUUUCAGCAGGGAAGAAGCGAAAGUGACGGUACCUGCAGAAGAAGCACCGGCUAACUACGUG
rnacentral:rRNA from 1 species